rfam:Medicago truncatula strain A17 chromosome 4, whole genome shotgun sequence.
CCCAUAAGUAAUAAAAGGUAUGUUUAGAUCCCUUAAUUUUAUUUAAAGUAUCAGUUCGGUCCUUUCUGUUAAUUUAAUUCAAAAAAACGUUAAGUUUAGGGACCAAACUAAUACUAAUUAAAUAAGUUAAGGGACCAAAAUUUAACGUUUUUUUGAAUUAAAUUAAGAGAAAAGACCAAAUUGAUACUUUAAAUAAAGUUAGGGGAUCUAAACGGACUUUUUCUUACUUAGGACC